CUACCACCCCGAACACCUGAACACACCCGAUCUUGUCUGAUCUCAGAAGCUAAGCAGGGUCGGGCCUGGUUAGUACUUGGAUGGGAGAAAUGAGUUGCAUGCAUCUUUACUCACUGUGAGAACUGGAAGAGU
ensembl:rRNA 5S_rRNA 5S ribosomal RNA